rnacentral:rRNA from 1 species
UACGAAGGGGGCUAGCGUUGCUCGGAAUUACUGGGCGUAAAGCGCACGUAGGCGGUCUUUUAAGUCGGGGGUGAAAUCCUGGAGCUCAACUCCAGAACUGCCUUCGAUACUGGAAGACUCGAGUCCGGGAGAGGUGAGUGGAACUGCGAGUGUAGAGGUGAAAUUCGUAGAUAUUCGCAAGAACACCAGUGGCGAAGGCGGCUCACUGGCCCGGUACUGACGCUGAGGCACGAAAGCGUGGGGAGCGAACGAGG